GGGCGCAUAGCUCAGCUGGUUAGAGCGUUACGUUGACAUCGUAAAGGUCUCAGGUUCGACUCCUGAUGCGCCCA
rnacentral:tRNA from 1 species